AUGAGCAAGAUGAAAGUAAUACCCGUACAACAAAGGAAAACAUCUCACCUCUGUUCCCUGUUCCCUCACCUCAAAAGCAAUCACGAGUCAGAAGAAAACGCCAGGAGAAGCCCCCAAGCCAAGCCUCUUUUCUCAUUCUCUUCCAACAAGUGCUUGGAACUACAAGGAGGCCACCUUUCCACUACGAGCAACCAGGUGCUCUGCUGUGUGGUCCUUUGUCUCCUGGGAGCAAACACCGUGGAUGGUGGAAUCACUCAGUCCCCAAAGUACCUGUUCAGAAAGGAAGGACAGAAUGUGACCCUGAAUUGUGAACAGAAUUUGAACCACGAUGCCAUGUACUGGUACCGACAGGACCCAGGGCAAGGGCUGAGAUUGAUCUACUACUCACAGAUAGUAAAUGACUUUCAGAAAGGAGAUAUAGCUGAAGGGUACAGCGUCUCUCGGGAGAAGAAGGAAUCCUUUCCUCUCACUGUGACAUCGGCCCAAAAGAACCCGACAGCUUUCUAUCUCUGUGCCAGUAGUAUAGACACAGUGAAGCACGGAUGUCGCCUCUCUGUGCAUAAAUGUGCCCAGUCCUGCUUCCCCGACCAGGUGGCAGGGCUCCUCUGCAUUCUAUGAUGGCAGGAAACGCCA